rnacentral:rRNA from 1 species
UAGGGAAUCUUCGGCAAUGGACGGAAGUCUGACCGAGCAACGCCGCGUGAGUGAAGAGGGUUUUCGGAUCGUAAAGCUCUGUUGUAAGAGAAGAACGAGUGUGAGAGUGGAAAGUUCACACUGUGACGGUAUCUUACCAGAAAGGGACGGCUAACUACGUGCCAGCAGCCGCGGUAAUACGUAGGUCCCGAGCGUUGUCCGGAUUUAUUGGGCGUAAAGCGAGCGCAGGCGGUUAGAUAAGUCUGAAGUUAAAGGCUGUGGCUUAACCAUAGUACGCUUUGGAAACUGUUUAACUUGAGUGCAAGAGGGGAGAGUGGAAUUCCAUGUGUAGCGGUGAAAUGCGUAGAUAUAUGGAGGAACACCGGUGGCGAAAGCGGCUCUCUGGCUUGUAACUGACGCUGAGGCUCGAAAGCGUGGGGAGCAAACAGGAUUAGAUACCCUGGUAGUCCACGCCGUAAACGAUGAGUGCUAGGUGUUAGACCCUUUCCGGGGGUUUAUGGCNNANCUUAAGCNUUAACACUCCCCCCCGGGGGGAANAACCCCCNGGUG